rnacentral:ncRNA from 1 species
UUAAAUGCAGUGACGGAAAAUAGUAAACUCAUUCACGGUUUCAGAGAGAGAAUGGCUGGUGAAAAUUCUUACACGGUUUGUUUUGAAGCAGUUCCUAAGCAGCAGUUACGAACAGAUUUUAUCUUAUUAGUUUCUGACGUUUUCCCACGUUACAGGGAUUCAUCAUGAUUGUGAUGACUGAGUGCAGGUUUAAUCCUGAAUUUAGGUGGUAACACGGAUUUGAUUAUUCGCCCUAAGC